rnacentral:rRNA from 1 species
UWUUUUUUGNCGYKUAAAAUURAAUACCUGAGUAGUAAUAGUUAUGAUCUUGAAACUCAAAGAAUUUGGCGGUGUUUUAGUCCUUUCAGAGGAAUCUGUCCUGUAAUUGAUAGUACACGAUUUUAUUUACUUAAUUUGGUUGAUCAGUUUAUAUACCGCCGUCGUAAGAUUAUCUUGUGGAGAGUUUAAAAUUUCUUUACCUAUUAUUAUAGAAUAUGUCAGGUCAAGGUGUAGCUAAUGRUUAAGUAGAGAUGGAUUACAAUAAAUAUAUUUAUUAUGGAUAAUUGACUUUAUUUAAAUUAGAAGGUGGAUUUGAUUGUAAAUUAGUUGAAAUUGAUUUUUUGAUUAUGGCUCUAAAACGUGCACACAUCGCCCGUCGCUCUCGUUUUAAGAUGAG